rnacentral:rRNA from 1 species
GCUUGUCUCAAAGAUUAAGCCAUGCACGUCUGAGAAUAAAGAGUUUUCUCUGAAUCUGCGAAUGGCUCAUUAUAUCAGUUAUAGUUUAUUUGAUAGUCCUUUACUACUUGGAUAACCGUAGUAAUUCUAGAGCUAAUACAUGCAUCAAUACCCAACUGCUUGUCGGACGGGUAGCAUUUAUUAGAUUGAAACCAAUGCAGUCUUCGGGCUGGUAUUGUGUUGAGUCAUAAUAACUGUGCGGACCGUACUUUUGUGCGGUAAAUCGAUUGAGUUUCUGCCCUAUCAGCUUUGGAUGGUAGGAUAUGGGCCUACCAUGGCAUUAACGGGUAACGGGGAAUUAGGGUUUGAUUCCGGAGAGGGAGCCUUAGAAACGGCUACCACAUCCAAGGAAGGCAGCAGG